CGCGUAGGCGGUUUGGCAAGUCUGGUGUGAAAUCUCACAGCUCAACUGUGAAACUGCAUCAGAAACUGCCAGGCUAGAGUGCGGGAGAGGAGAGUGGAAUUCCCAGUGUAGAGGUGAAAUUCGUAGAUAUUGGGAAGAACACCGGUGGCGAAGGCGGCUCUCUGGACCGCAACUGACGCUGAGGCGCGAAAGCUAGGGGAGCAAACG
rnacentral:rRNA from 1 species